rnacentral:rRNA from 1 species
AUGGCUCCCCCCGAUGAUGUUGCAGGUAACUCUGGUGAGAAUGAGGGGAGUAAGAAGGCUAAGAAGAAGAUUAAGAAGAAAGGCAAUCUAUGUGGCUUUAAGUCAAGGUUUAACUCAAAAAGGCUGGCUCAGAUUGGGAAGCAAAUAUCACCGGAAAAACAGAGAAUCAUAAGGGAGGGAGCGUUUGGGGACUUGUUGGACAUCCGGUCUUUCAAGGUGCCCCAUGAGCUCAUUGAGUUUGUUGCGAUGAACACGAAUCACGUACUCUCUGAGUUCAAACACAAGAACAAAUCUAUCACCUUCAGCAAGCUUAUGGUGAAAAGGAUUUUCAACGUGCCAUCCGGUGAUAGACCCGUGAAGAUUCUAAAGAAGAGUGAUGAACAUGAUCUUCGCAACAUUUACAAGGAGGGGAACAGGGCUCCAAUCGCCCAUGUUGUCAAGUUGCUCACUAGUUGCAGUGAGGAGGACGUGGAUAUGAUAAAUAGGACUUGGGCACUCCUUGCGUUGGCAACAGUUUUGUGCCCAGGCACGGGCAAUAUGGUGAACCUUGAGUAUCUUGCUUCCUUGGAAGAUAUGUCUUUGGUGCAUGAGUUCGCUUGGGAUGAGCACUUGUUGGCACGAGCGAUGGAGGAGGUUGGAGUCUUUCAAGAGAAGAAGAGGAUGCAAGCAAACGCAGAAAAAGAGUUCCAGAUUGCUUCAUGCCUCCCCAUGUUAGCGNNNACAAGAACAAGCUCACUCUUAUCCAACCUUUCUACGGGAAACACACCCAUAUCCGGAGUUUGUGCAACACCCCCUAUGCAGCACAACUUGUGGGACAGGAAGUUGGUGCUGAAGCAGCUAGUGGGCAGGGAGGUGGUGCUGAAGCACCUAGUGGCCAAGGAAUUAGUGGCCAAGGAAGCCAAGUUCAAGGUGCUGAAAAUCAAGCAAAGAACUCUCAAUCAAACGAGGCUCAACAAAAUGUUGAUGCUGAACCACACCUAUCAUCAUCGCUGA